rnacentral:tRNA from 1 species
UAGGAAGUAGUAUAAUGGAAGUACCUGGAGUUUUGAUCUCUUGGGUGUGGGUUCAAAUCCCUUCUUUCUAG